rnacentral:tRNA from 1 species
GGAGAGGUGGCAGAGUGGUCGAUUGCGGCAGACUCGAAAUCUGUUGAUGGGUCACACCAUCCGGGGGUUCGAAUCCCUCCCUCUCCGCCA